UUCCCUAUUCCACCUAUUCCCC
rnacentral:miRNA from 1 species